GAGCCGAGAACCGGUCGGGUUAUUGUUUACGCUAACACGUGACACCGCAGCACGAGUGUACACGCGUUUCUGUAAUAUUUAUGCCCUCCCUCCCACCACUGCUUAAGGAUCACACGUGCUUCUCGUAACAUUCUUGGAAAUGACGUGCUUUUGCUGUCUCCGUCCUCGAAGUCUUGUGGUAUAAAAGACCUGCAUGCUCCAUACACUCACCAUAUUCUCUGUGAAUACCGUGAACUGAUCUUACUCCAGCGACAUGAAGAGUUUUCUGGUGAUCUACGCGGCGCUGCUGGUGCUGGUCGCCAUCUGCUGCGUGUCGGUGCAGGCCGCUGCCGUGGCUGAACCAGAAGCCGCGCACCACGGAGGACGUGGUGGCGGCGGUGGCGGCCACUAUGGGGGAGGAGGUCACAAUGGCGGACACCAUGGUGGCGGCGGCCACCACGGGCACCAUGGCUGACGGGCCAAACGACAGCUGCUGCAACUAAUGUGGCAGAGCUGCUUGUCCUCGCAACUACAAUGAAGGCCUCGGAGAUGCCGUACAUCUGUAUCUGUCGCCAACAAUAAAUCCUUAUUUUUUCAAA